UACGUAGGGUGCGAGCGUUAAUCGGAAUUACUGGGCGUAAAGUGUGCGCGGGCGGCCGCGCAAGUCGAGUGUGAAAUCCCCGAGCUUAACUUGGGAAUUGCGCUCGAAACUACGUGGCUGGAGUGUGGCAGAGGAAGGUGGAAUUCCACGUGUAGCGGUGAAAUGCGUAGAUAUCUGGAGGAACACCGGUGGCGAAGGCGGCAUCCUGGACCGGUAUUGACGCUGAGGAGCGAAAGCCAGGGGAGCAAACGGG
rnacentral:rRNA from 1 species